ACGGAGCUACCACGUUAUAGGAGCACAGACCGUACUUAAUCUAAAAAAAUAUUGCCCGGCCAUGUCUAAAUUAAGUUACGUGUAUUUUAUGGUAUUUUUUAGGGCCCUGGCACAGACAGCCCAGCAAGGCAUUUGGAGUCAUUAAAAAUAACGUGGAGUUUACGCGAGUUCACGGAUGUCAAGGCGCAGCGUGCGGUCUGUGGACAUCGGGCGGUAGAGGGAGGUGUGCGCUCGGCAGACGGAAUUGCUGGGAGCUGCACCGUUCGUUACUCGCAUGCAACGACAAGACCAGAGUUCCACGGUUCAAGAAGCCUUCAAGCAAUAAGGAGGUUCCAACGCCUGGCGAGAGAGCGCCGCGGAUGGACAACCACGCACGCCGCAGCGAGCCAGGCACUCACACCAGCGCCUAGUGGGGUACAAGUACGAAACUCCGCUACAUGACACAAUCACCGGAGGGUCAGCCUGAAGCCCCGUGCAAAACACAAAUACACAAUCUCCAUCUUCAGUGAACCAAGUCAUUCGUCCACUCUGCUACAGGUAACUAGUAACGUGUAUAACAUCUGCACGCGUGUAUGUAAUGACGUAAAAAGAUGCCUGAAAUCACUCUUGGGAUAAGUGUUAGCGAGUAGCAGAUAUCAGGGCCGGGAUGGUAUACAAGGGGGUGGGUGGCCAGCACCACAAUUGCCAAAAGCCGCUGCUGUGAGGUUCUGGCAUCAUCAUCAUCAUCAAAGACAAGGAUCCCCUGUGUAGCCUCAAUAGACUGUUGGGGCAGGUGCUGUCUCUGCGGCCAGCACGAGGGACCCGCGAGCAGCGCUCGUCAGCGUGAGCCACAGAGGCAGCGCCAACUCAGACCCAUGGCUGACCGCGCUCCGGUGGCCUGGAUUGGAACUUCGGGAAAAGUUGAGUCCUCGGGGUCGGAGUGGUGGUGCGGCGGUCGGCGCGCCCGCGCCCUGCCAACCCGUGACCUGAGUUUGACUCCCGGCCACGGCCAACAUCAGUGGCAAGUGACGUCUCAAAAUGCCAGGGUGCGUAUCCCGGUCCGGAGGAUACCGUCAAUUGAAUUCAGUGAAGGCUCAGCACCGGCGAAGCGUUGAUUUGAAGCGAACGAGAAGCGCUUUGACAACGUAGCGCGAGCGUUCAGCGUGCCGUGCGUGGGUUUCGGAGAGAGCGACGGGGGGAGCCGAGAACGCCGUCGCGAGCGGUAAAUCACCGAUACGGCAAUGGAGACGAAUGGAGAGCCUCCAAACGCCUCGAGUGUUUUCCAUUGAGAAGAGGCAAAAAAAAAACGGAACCCGCAUUCAAUGCAUUAAUGGCACGUUAAAAUAGAACGACGUUGUUAUGAAUAUCAAUGUUUCUAUCGCACGAAAUCGAGAGAAACAGGCGCAAAAACGCUGCUCCGGUAACGACCCGCAAGGGAACCCGUGUUGAACCAUCGCUACAGCAGAGAGCCAUCCCCUGUCGGAUUAUAUCGGGGGGGAGGGGGGGUAACUCAAUAAUCAUCAUUCACAAAAAGGGGUUAACAGGAGGCUAAAGAGGCGGUAACUAGUGCCGUAAAUAAGACUUACCGUGGUACUUGCCGCGGUACUUACCGUGGUACUUGCCGCAGUACUUACUGUGGUACUUGCCGCGGUACUUACCGUGGUACUUGCCGUGGUACUUCCAGCAGUUCUUACUGCUGAGCCUCUACAACGCCACGGCUCCAGGCGUGAGCAAGCGCAGUUUACAAGCCGGCCUGGCAUCUUCAUGUGACGCACGACACGAGCGGCGUGCUCGACGCACGACACAUGACGCACGACACAUGACGCACGACACAUGACGCA